GGGUGGAAGUGCAGUAAUGCAUGGAGCUGACCAAUACUAAUCGGUCGAGGGCUUAUCCUAAAAC
rnacentral:rRNA from 1 species